UCGUGAAGCGGUAGCUAUAGUACUAUCGCGUGUCGUCUGUACGCGUAAUAAUACCUAUUUUGUAAAUGGUUUUUUAACUUUGUCGCGUCAUGGUGAACAUUUUUUCUUUUUUUCCUUCCUUACUGUAAAAACGUCGUCGUCGUCUAUUCAUUACAACUAUCUAAUUACCCUAUAAUCUAUAUCGUCUCGUCCCGAUGAUGGUUCUACAAGAGCAGCGACAAUGGGAUAAACAAAACCCAGUUCGGUAAGUCUACGAGGUGUAGCCAUUAAGUACAGGGACUGUUUGAAUUAAACACCAAUGGAGCGUCGAAAAACAGUAGAAUUGAUAUCGAUGACUUCUGUGACAUUUCCUGAACACAUAUGUUUUUGUUGAUUUUCUAUAACCUUCUUGGUUUUUAUGUAACCGAUUUUUUUGUUUAAAACGUUUUUCACAUUUUGGCGAUUAUGUAACGCAUCAAACGAAGAGCAACUUAACGAGCUUUUUUGGGAGGUUAAAGAGAAUUUAUCUUCCAUUUUGAUAACUACGUAGGUAAUGGCUAUUAUUAUGAUAAAUGAUAAUCGAAUACCUAACCUAAUCACAUCAAAAAGUUCCUAGAAAUUUUGAACUUGAAUUUUUUUUUGACACUCGAUAUUUCCUCAACAUUCUCGGGACAAACUAUGCUGCAUUCGCCGCAUUUGUACAGUUUUUUGGCUUGAAUUAUGUGAAAAAUUGCAAUUCUGUGCCAACUAAGAUUCUGUUAUUAUACCGAAAGAAAAAAUCCUUCUCUCCUAAAAAGCCUUUUUUUUUGGAUUCAUUACAAAACCUCUUGAAAAACAUGUUUUACAAAAAAAUUGGUUGCAUUAAAAUUAAGGUAACAAAAAAUCUGCAAAACUAGUUAACAGAUACAGUGACAUAACUGGAUAAAAAUCUAGGGGCAAAAUAAUUUAUCCACCAUAUUCAAAACCAUUAGCCCCACUCCCCCUCCCUGGUUUAAAUAUAUUUUUAUUGUAUGUGUUAUAUACGGUAUACCUAAUUAUUUGUUUUUGCAUAAAUCUUUAAACUAAUUUUAUGAUUUAAAAACAACAAGUAGCAUGUUACUACAGGUACCCAUAUUAUUAAAUAAUAUUGAAGUAACUACAUUAAUAAAAAGGUGUCGUUAGUAGUUUUAAAAAAGCAACCAAUAUAAAUAUUAUUUAAACAUCCUACUAAUAAUAAAUAUUAUAAAUGUGAAAUUUUUUGAGGAUGUAUGGAUGUUUGUUACUCUUUCACACAAAAACUAUUGAACGGAUUUUGAUGAAUUUUGGUAUAGAUACCUUGGAAAUACCUAGUGACCUUGGAAAAAAAACAAGCUACAUUUUGUCGCGAAAAUAAAACUUGAAGAGAUAAAAUAGGGGAUGAAAGGUUUUUAGGUAUUUAUGGUAUUAAAUUAUUUUUGUUGAAUUAUGGAUUACCAUAGGAACACUAAUGAAAAGAAAACAAUUUAAAAAUAAAAAAUAAACAAAAAAAAAAUACCAUAACAACUUAAAAUAAAGAGUCUACCUGAUACUCAGCCGACCUAUUAUUGAUUUGAAAUAGUAUGCAUACUACCUUGCAUGGAUGAAAAAAAAAAAAAUCUAUGCGCUGUACAAAUUGGUUAAGUAAAAAAGGCAGAGUAACACGUUAAACUUCAUAUCUGAAUCUUUUUAUUUUUUGGUACAGUAACAACACUACAGUACUAUUAUGUCCUCAUAAUUUUAGGAUUAUUAUAGUGGAUACAUAGUUUAGUCCCUGUGUUAUGCAGGUAUCUUAGUAUCUAUGGUAACACGAAUGAAAAAAAUGUAUGAUAUACUAGAACACUUUUAGUCCGUGGACUAACCACUUUCCAACUAUUAUUUUUAGUUCAAUAUACCUAUUAGUGUUGUUUAUAUAUUCACGUGAAUACGUGUACACGGUCUUAUAGAUUUAAAUGUUAAUUACGUAUGAUUUUAUCCACAUAAAACCAAAUAAAACUAAACAAUUCAAAAAUGUUAAAUUUGUAUAAAUAACUAAAAAAUUGCCAGAAUGUAUUUAAAAUUGUAUGCUACAAAAAGCCAAAAAAAGGAUAAUAUAAGAAUUUCUGUAAAAAUUUCGGGCGUUUAUUUAUAAUUGAAUUGUACUAAAAAAAAAAAAAAAAUCGGAAAUAAUGAAACAUUUAUUAUCGUAGUCUUUUCCGUUUUUUCCAAUUAUUAAGAUAACUAUAAGAAAAAUUAAAAAAACGACUUCACAAAACAUCGAAUAGACAAUAUUGCCUAUAUGAAAAGAUUAACAUUUAGAGUAAUAUUUCUGUUAGGAAAGUUCUGAUUGGUUCUUCGGACAUAAAAAAGUACCCAUCAUAGAAAAACAAUUCCGUUGCACACAGAAAAAAUACAAUGAGUUUUAAAAAGUUAUCAUCGACUAAUGAUCCACAACGCUACCGCCAGAUACCUUUCAUAAAGUUUUAAUUGGAGUAACUUUUUAAUAGUAUAAUAUCAAGGUGUCUAGUCUGUCGCCCCUGAAUCCUGAUUUUCAGACAGUCACAUAUUUUAAUAAAUAUAUUGUGUCAAUUAUGUAGACAAUAUUAUUAUAUAUUCAUUUUGUGCUUAUUGCCCGUCCGUCCAUUGAUUUAUUACAUCCUCGUUAGAUGUUGUCCAAGCAAACAUAUAAUAAUUGCUCGACCUAUAUAUGAAGUUUGAUAAACCCCGUUAAUCGAUUAUUUUUACAAUUUUAAUAUAUUCCAAUUAUUUUUAACAAUAGCGUUAUCACUGACCAGAUUUCUGUAGCUUUAUGAACGAAAAAAGACAAAUAGGUAAUAACAUUAAUAAAUACAUAAAUGUUUUUUUUUUUUUAAACGAUAUAUAUAUAUUCGGUAGGUUCUUACCUAUUAUAAUAGACAUCAUCUAGUUUAUAUAACUAUACAAAAUUACUAUAAUAGUACAAAAAUAAUAUUAUUAUUCGAAUAUAAUGACACGAAAAUAGUCAUAGAUAAAAAUAAAUACAAGUUAUUUGUAUGAAACAUUUAUACAAUUAAUAUUUAAUUUACCUACACCAUAUUUUUCAAACAUUCGUUUUUAUCUCUCCACUUAUAAUAUGAAUACAGUUAUAGAACGAAAUGUCAUCAUAACCAAAUAGGAACCUAAACUAAAAAUAUUUAUAAACAUUAAAAUAUACCCACGUUGCAUUACAAUUGUCAUAUAAUGUUAAUACAAUAAUAAUGGUAGGUAUAUUACGCUGCUGUAUACGUAUAUUUAAACUGUUAUCAGUUUAAAUGUUUCUGUUUUUGGGUCAUAUAACAAUCUAAAUUUCCGGAAUUUAUGUAACUUGCUUCCAAUAUUUGUAUAGUAGAUAAAGAUUAAAGAUAACAAUAAAAUAAUUAUUACUAUUAUUGGUUGUAUCGUAUAUAUUUGCAAUAUACACAUUAAACACGCGUUUCGAAUUCCGAUGCAGGAAUAAAAUUAAGUUGAUGGCGGAUUGAAAUUUAAAAAAAGAACUGAUACUGAGCAUGGGUGUGCCACUAUAAUUGGUGUGAAGUUGGGAAUGUAGAAUACAUAAAGUUAUUUAAUUUAUAUCUGUAAGCAAUGAUAAAUCAUUGCUUACGAAUAAUGUCUCGGAACGUAGUUCGGUUAUACGUCUUGUUUUAAAAGGCCAUGCAAAGGCUAAAUGGGAUACAAAGGUAAAUCGCUUUCACAUAGUGUACCCCGGGCAACGUCUUAUAUACGGUUAAAGAUUUACUAGCAUCGACUGCUAUACUGGUCUCUCCGAUUUCACAGCAACUAUGAGUAACACAGAUUUUGAAAACAUCCAUUUUAAGGGCUUCUCAAUCCAAGAUAUUGGACCUCGGCUAAUUAUUUUCCAACACAACGUUGAAGGCUUAAGCAGAGAUAAAAGUAGCUAUUCAGUUCGAUUAUUACGUGAACUUAAAAUAGAUGUAGUCCUUCGACAGGAAACUCAUGGCCUAGACAAAGCACAAGUGCAUAGCCGCGGGACCAUAGAUGGAUAAAAUCCAUAGCUUUUGACAUAAUUCAUAACAAUAUUACGCGGAACUGUUACUUACAUGCGUCAGGAUAUCUCUAACUCGAGUUACCUAUUUACAAGGAUGCAUAACUUGAAUGUUGUCCCCUGAAUGCCACAUGGCUCUGGCGAUUGAGAUUUUUUGAAGGCCUUUUAAAUAAAAGUGUACAGUAGGCCUUUUAGAGCCAGUCCGACCCUGUCUUUUAGGCAAAUCUUUAAUAUUGUUUUUUGUCCAUUACAUUUGAUUUAUAUUUAACUAAAUGUACUAAUUAUGUGAAACUAAUAUCUGCUAUGAUUGUAAUGCAACGCGGGGGUCUGUGUGAGUACACAGCUUGCACCACCUCCAAGCCCACGACCAUCCACAACUAAUAAUUUUGAACGGUUCGGUUGAGGCCCAGGUUUAAAAAAAAAAUCUAUGCCGUAGUCCCACUGGUUUUACAAACAUUUAUACUAUAUGCUAUACUUCGACCAUAAUAUUAUUCUCAACUGAAACUUUGAUCGUAUGAAAAUUAACUAUUGAGCUGAAAGUUACCGCGCCUCAGCAAGGUAACUUAAAUAAUAUUAUAAAAAUAUUCGAAAAAAAAAAAUCAUAAAAUGACUAGUGGGUCGCUACACAGGUAUCAAAAAAAAAGUUUUUCCGUGCUGGUCUGCAGAAUUUCCAAUUCAAUUCCAGUGGGAUACCCCGCGUCAUUUAACACAAAAAAAAAAUAUAGUUUUACCCAUAACAGUUGACCCUAAGGGAUAGUAGUUCAACACUCGAUGUUGCAGUAGUCAACAUCAUCACGACUCGCGGGGGAGUAAUUUCGUACUUUGUCGGUAUGCGAUGACCGUAACGUGCAGGGUAAUGGCGCCGAAAUAUUUGUUUUGUUUUUUUUUUUUUUGUCCGGUGCGGCAAAAUAAACAAAUAGCACAUACCUACCCUCCUCCCACACACCCAUCUAAUAUUUAAGUUGUCAGACCACUCUCCCGCCUUAAAAAGAGGCGCGGUGAUCACGUCUAAUAUAGGUAAGUGUUCGGUGUUAGUGUUCACGUGCAGAGCAUAAUAUAUUCUGCAUAUUAAAGUAAUCUAGUAAAGUAAUCAGAUAAUCAGUAAUUUUUUUCAGAAGGAUGAGCCGAAAAAUAUUCGGGACUUCAAUUUUGUUAAUUCUAAGCAUGGUUAUUUUAUAUUUUACUGAAAUAUGUGUUUUUCAUUUUGUGAAAAAGUUUUCGACCAUAUUAGACUGACUCUAAUCGAAAAUUUUAACAGGAGUCUCUUUUUUUGUACCACGUGUCAGAUUUAUAGUUGAUGCAUCGGGGAAGUUAUAUUUUUAUUAUUCAUUUUUUUAAUCUCUUGUACUUUUCUUAAUAAGAAGGAAAAAUCAAAGUAAAAAAACGUCGGAAAACUGGAAUAUUUAGGUAUAAUUGUAUAAACAUCACAACUCCACUGGUUUCGACAAAAUCGAUUUUAUAUUUUUGGUGUAUAAAAUUCAGUAGGAAAUAACCGUAGACAUUUGCAAUUUACACUAUAUUUUUUUUUGCAUUCACAUUUUGGUUCUUUUUUGUUUUAAGUAUUUUAUGCCGUUUGUAAUUUUUAAGGUUUUUUUUUAUAUGGAUUUAUUAGAUCCAUAAUUUGUGCUACGGUCACACUUAAAUAUUCGAUAUUUUGUUAGUCUACAAGUAAAGCGUAAAAGUAUGUCAUUUUGGAUUUGGAGAGUAUUUGUUUUACUAUGAUGUGUGUAUUCCUUUUACUGUUUGUGAACAACUUUUUUUAAGAACUUUUGCUCCAGGGUAACUGUAGAAUCUUUUCUGAAAGUUAAUUUUCUCUAGUUAAUGCAUUGAGCAGGUAAUUUUUCAUUUUCUAUGGGGUUUUUCAAAAUAAUCAGGAAAAACGGGAAAGAAAAUUAUAGAUAAAACGGUAAAUAUUUACGGCGUACCGUGUUCAUUGUUUUUAAUUUUUAUUCACGAUGUUUUCCACCAAAAUUACUGUUUCAAUUGAAAAACAACAAGAGAUUUUAAUCCGUUUUUUUUUUUAGUAAGAAAGUCGAUUUUUGAUUUUCUGUAUGGUUUUUUUAAUAACUAGGCAAAACCGAAAAAUACACGGGAAGAACAGAAAAAUGUACUGUACCUCAAAACCAGGUGAACGUAAGUAACAUUAUUUUUUAGCAAAAAAAAGGAGGGCACGUUAUUUCUUGCCAUAUAUCAGGACUUAUGUAUAACCCUGGUAAAAUUAUGGAAGGAGUAUUUUUAAUAGACUUCCAUUAUUAUGGCUCGAUGGAAAACAUAUUAUAUUACAUGCGAAUAAUGUAAUAAUCUAAUCAAUAAUAAUUUUUGGACUUACGUUUGUUUGGUUCUGAUGUACAGUUAUGUCUUUUAGAUUCUGAGUGGAGCGAGGACUGCAUAUUGGUUUUACAGUUGUUUAUUUUUUUAUACUGUGUACAAAAAUUCCACCAGAAAUCUUGCUCCAAACUCCGAAGUAUCAAAGAAUAGCAUCUUUUCUUAAAAAAAAUCUGACUUUAGGGAAGUCAUUAUUUGAUAUUCCCAAUAAAUGAGAAGAACUGGAAAAGAACGGAGGAAAAACGUGAGGAAAAUAGGUACAAUAUUAAACAAAUAUUAUUAUUAAAUAAAAUAUAUGUAAUGCAUGCGUAAUUAUUUUACCAUAAUAUGACAUGUGCAGUUAGCUAUGGUUAUACCCAACUUCUCACCUACAACAGUGGCCCACCCACGCGCGAAUUAUGUUAGUCUUCUUUUCGAUUGUACUUUUAUCGCGGUGUUAUUCAUUACCGCUUGAUUUAAUUAUUUUAUUAGGUAAUGAAAACGAUUUAUUGUUGCCAACUGCGAACGUUGACACCGGUCGCUAGUAACUUACCGACUGAGUACUGAACAAUCAACUAAGAUAAGACGAUGCCAAGCGACGUCGACGGCGCGGCAAAUCGACUAGACAAAAUUACAAGACUCGCUGAUUUAUGUGGCACUAUUUCACAAAAUUCUACGUACAUUGCGAUUAAUACCGUUAUAAUUCCGGCGAUGUGGGUAAUAAUAUGCAACAGUUCCAUAUUAUACCCGUAAUACAUUUCAUUCCGCAAUACAAAGUGAUAUUCAUUAAAUAUAAUUACUCGAUCAAAACUCGCGAAAAUAUAUACUAAACAGGUGUUUGAACAUCAAAACCCGUAUUACACCGUCGCCGCUCCUUUUGCGACUAUGUUAAUUAAUCCGGCCCUGGCUUUACACACGGCCGUAUUUCGUUCAGGACUUAAACCAUCGACCUAUACAGCCGAUAACUACCCAAUGUACAGCCAGGUUUUGAAUUUUCGUAGAUCGUAGGGCAGGCCUUUUUGUAUCACUGUGCCUACGUCCCUGACGGACGUAUACG